GACGAACGCUGGCGGCGUGCUUAACACAUGCAAGUCGAGCGGAAAGGCCCUUUCGGGGGUACUCGAGCGGCGAACGGGUGAGUAACACGUGAGUAAUCUGCCCUUGGCUUCGGGAUAGCCACCGGAAACGGUGAUUAAUACCGGCUACGACACAUCACUGCAUGGUGCGUGUGUGGAAAGUUUUUUCGGCCAGGGAUGCGCUCGCGGCCUAUCAGCUUGUUGGUGGGGUAAUGGCCUACCAAGGCUUCGACGGGUAGCCGGCCUGAGAGGGUGACCGGCCACACUGGGACUGAGACACGGCCCAGACUCCUACGGGAGGCAGCAGUGGGGAAUAUUGGACAAUGGGCGGAAGCCUGAUCCAGCAACGCCGCGUGAGGGAUGACGGCCUUCGGGUUGUAAACCUCUUUCAGCACAGACGAAGCGCAAGUGACGGUAUGUGCAGAAGAAGGACCGGCCAACUACGUGCCAGCCGCCGCAGUAAAAC
rnacentral:rRNA from 1 species